CAGAAAUUGGUUUUGUAUCAGUCAGAUAUCGAUCCGUUUGUUCAUGAAUCUUAUUUCUCGCCUUUAUUUAUGUCAUGUUGUACAGGUCGCCACGAGUCGUACAAGAUUUCUUGUGAAACGGAAAAAGAAAGAGCAAAUUGGAUGAAAUGUAUACAGUAAGAAAUGAAAGUUCUUUAUUUUUUUACGAACGAGCGCAGCGAGUGAGUAAAAUAUUGUUUUUGACACGAGAAGAUAAAAGUCAUAUCUUCAAGCCAAGCAAAAAAUUUUGAAAUUUCACGCUCAAAAGCAAAUUGGAAAAAGUCACGUGAUCGAUAUCUUCACUAGUGAAGAUAUGGAAAAUAUCUCACUGUGUAUUUUUCAGUAUCUCACUCUCUACUAUAUAAUAAAUAGUCUGAUCCAUGUACGCGGAUUUUUUGGUUGGAUAAACAUAAACAUUCAUGUCAAUUUUUUUUCAGUUCGCUUUUUUCUUUUCGUAGGGCUAGUAUGGUGAUGGAUCCAUUUUACGACUUUUUACACGCGCGGAAAAAGAAAGCAACGCAAACUGUAUGAAGAACAGUUCAUAUUUUAAAAUCAGGUGUGGCACUGGUGCACAGGGUUGCAAAUGGAUACUCAUCCAGUGAAAUUCACCAUUGUGGUGUUGGACAGUGACUCGGCCCUGACCACACAACUAGGCGGGGAUGAAUUAUAGUUGGGCGCGCUAUGCAGACUAUGUUCACACUACAUCGGAGCGAAAUAAUGUCGGCAGAAUUUACGUGUGUUCACACUACGCUGUCACAGUUUGUUUAUAAAUUAGCACUCAUGUGAACCCAAAAUAUUUCAAACAGAGCAAAGAAACUUAAACGAAAAGUAUUCGAGUUUACUGUUGGUGUUGUUGUUGGUGUUGUUGUUGUUUUUGUUGUUGUCCUUGUUGCUGUUUUUGUUGUUGUUUUUGUUGUUGUUUUUGUUGUUGUGACUAUUUUAGCAGGGUAGCCCAUUCAGCUGUUAAGCUGGUAUCCACAUAGGGGCCCUGCAUAUUAUUAGCUAAAUACAUAAAUUAUGUAAUCCUAUCUAUGAUCCAAAUUAAUUCCAACAUAUUUACAAUUCAGAUACAUAUAAUGUUGUUUAAUUCAGUUGGUAGCUGAGAUGCUUGAUUUGCAAGCAGUACAAAAAAGUAAACGGCAUUUUUGUGCACACGAAGCCGCCAAACACUCCGUUUUCAUCUCACUCCGUUUAGAAACCGUGCUCAAAUUAUUAAGACAAAAGUGACGUUUUCAAACAAUUUCGCUCUGGCGUCGUGUGAACGUAGUCUUGUUGGCCGUUUAAAAUCGUAGCGACUGUGCUCGACCUACCAGCGGAACGGAAAUAGAAACUGUGUAUAUAUUAGUAUAUAUAGGAUUUGUAUAGCAUAUUACUGUAACCCGGAUUGGAAAUCAAUCUAAUUGGGAUUGAGGAUCAGACGUUCUGAAAAAUAUAACAAGAAAUUUGACGUUUUAGGCUAAACUUGAACCAAGGCGGGAUUUUCGUGGAAAUAGUGGGGCAGGUGGAAAAAUUUUAGAAGAGGUGCAGCGGUCUAGCUCACGACCCCCAUAGAAAGUUAGGGCUUAGAACGGGCCAAAGUCAACGACAUGACGUAUGUAUAUACGUAUCGGUGUAUUAAUGAAUUAUGACUGUACAACUCAUCCAAUUUUGCCCUUCGUUACAAUUACUGUAAAGUUUUUUUUCAAAAAUAUUGCAUUAGAAGGGUACUUGACACAGAGAUGAAUGGCUAUUACUGUUUCAAUUUUACAGAAAAAACUUUCUUACGAAGUGUAGACCCUAAGCAACCAAAAAAUGUCAAAUUUUCACUUUGAUCUAUCGUUGACACUUUCCUAAGGGGAGAUGCAAAACGAUCUCAGGGGAGGUGCGCACCUCCCCUCAAAAUCUGGCCAUGACUUAAAGUAAAGACCCUAACGAAAAACUCUCGCUGGAAACGUUGGACGUCUUGUUCUAAUGUUGUUCUGAAGUCAUAUCGCUCCAAAUUUUUUCCGUGAAGUAUCGGAAUGAUUAGUCAUAAUGCGCUGUCAUAAAAACAGCGACUGGAGAGCAAACAGCAACAAUAUAACGGUAACUAACAGUAACAUUUUAAUUGUAUGUUUUACUAAACAUGAACAUUUUCAACUAUUUAUGCUAAGUUGCUAACGAAUAUAUUAUGAAAUGAAUAUAUAUUAACCAAAAGACUGUCUUUUGGAUUGUCUAUGAUAUUAACGAUAUAGUGAUAUAUUAAUACAAAUUGUGUAAAUUUUAACGAUAACCCUUUAGAUUUAUUUGUAAUGUAUAAUAUUGAUGUGCAAUACAGGCAAAACAGCAGCGAAACAGUAAAACCAUUUACUAUACGUCCAGGAUCUUAUAUAAAUUUCGUGUCACGGAUUAAUAUACAUUUCGUGCAUAAAAGGCCGCGUGACUUCCAUUUCGUAAGACUAGUCUGGGACUCUAUAACCUGCUGGACCUCGUACCGGUUUAUGCGCUUGUAGCCCAGUCCACGUGACAUCUGUAUCUGCAUGUGUUCAUUGUGAGAUGCAAACAACGGUAUCGUGCAUAUGGGUUGUACCACUGAGC
rnacentral:lncRNA from 1 species